rnacentral:tRNA from 1 species
GUCGGUGUAGCUUAGCCCGGUCUAAAGCGGCGGUCUCCAAAACCGCGAUCGUUGGUUCAAAUCCAGCCACCCUCGCCA